GUCAAGCCUCUGCAAUAAUUUCAUGCUAUAGCCUAUAAGAGAACUUCAUAUGCCUCUUUCAAGUUAUAACAUCUUGAAAAACAACAUGAAAUAUCAAAAGAUUUCUUCUUGCUCUUAAAGUCCAUAGAUUUCUGCCAAGACUCCAUAUCUAGAAUUCUACAUAGAAUAGGAUCUUAAGAGAAAUAAAUAUGAAAUAAAGAAAAACAAAAUAGCAUUCUCU
rnacentral:misc_RNA from 1 species